GCCAGGCACAGUGGCACGUGCCUGUAGUCCCAGCUACCUGGGAGGCUAAGGCUGGAGGAUCGCUUGAGCCCAGGAGUUCUGGGCUGUAGUGCGCUAUGCUGAUCAGGUGUCCGCACUAAGUUCGGCAUCAAUAUGGUGACCUCCCAGGAGCUGGGGACCACCAGGUUGCCUAAGGAGGUGAACCGGACCAGGUCAGAAAUGGAGCAGGUCAAAACUCCCAUGCUGAUCAGUAAUGGAAUUGCGCUGUGAAUAGCCACUGCACUUCAGCCUGGGAAACACAGCGAGACUCUGUCUCU
rnacentral:SRP_RNA from 1 species